AUUGAACGCUGGCGGCAUGCCUUACACAUGCAAGUCGAACGGCAGCACGGGCUUCGGUCUGCUGACGAGUGGCGAACGGGUGAGUAAUGCAUCGGAACGUGCCCAGUCGUGGGGGAUAACGCAGCGAAAGCUGCGCUAAUACCGCAUACGAUCUAUGGAUGAAAGCGGGGGACCGUAAGGCCUCGCGCGAUUGGAGCGGCCGAUGUCAGAUUAGGUAGUUGGUGGGGUAAAGGCUCACCAAGCCAACGAUCUGUAGCUGGUCUGAGAGGACGACCAGCCACACUGGGACUGCGACACGGCCCAGACUCCUACGGGAGGCAGCAGUGGGGAAUUUUGGACAAUGGGCGCAAGCCUGAUCCAGCAAUGCCGCGUGCAGGAAGAAGGCCUUCGGGUUGUAAACUGCUUUUGUACGGAACGAAACGGUCCUGGUUAAUACCUGGGGCUAAUGACGGUACCGUAAGAAUAAGCACCGGCUAACUACGUGCCAGCCGCCGCAGUAACAC
rnacentral:rRNA from 1 species